CCAAGACAUAAAGCCGCCUGAAAGCUGUGUAGCAAUCAUUCCAUUGCUGACCCAUAGGAUGGUAAUCACAUACAUGAUUGGCUUAAUCUAGAAUCAUGGAUACCUUUCAUACCUUCUCAUCACAAGUUGGAACUAGUGGUCAACAUUGGGGCAAUGCAGCCCAAAAUAACAGGGGCCAAUAUUUUCAUUGAGUGAGCAAGACCUGCCAGCAGAGCUCACUGGAGCAGGGAGACAUCCCGUCAUCAUUUUGGCAACUGACAAAGCUUGAGAUUCAGAUCCUGCUGAACGAUGUUAAGCAGUCGAUUAACCACAUGCAGGGGACGCUGAACACCAUGCAGGGGCAGUGUAUUGAGUUGCAGACUGCCAUAUCUAAG
rnacentral:lncRNA from 1 species